rnacentral:sRNA from 1 species
CUCUAAACUCAUCUCCAUUUUUCUUUUUCUUGUUCUGCCUUCUCUCUACCCUUGCACUCAUUUGAACCGUUGAAAUUUCAAAUAGGUGGUGUUCUUUCGCUCACGGAGUUGAGAGCUUCCCUUCUAUCCGAUUAGAUUUCUAUUUGGACGAGUGGUUGUAGGGCACUGUUUGAGUUUUCUCUGUGAAGGCACGGUUAGGGCACUCUAGUUGACUAUACUGCUCAAUUUCAAGUAGAGAGGAUUGAUCCAUGUGGUGAGGAGUAGCAGGAGGUCCUAGUCUUGGAGGCUUCCAGUAUGCUCCAGGGCGCAGAACGGAUUAACCUUGUGAGUGUGGUAGGGUGGAACCCAUUGGCAACGGCUUUGCAAAGCAGUAGAGGCCACCAUGAGUGCAUAACCCGCCAUAGCUCGACAAUCAUUCUGGUCCGGAUGAGUCGGUCUAUAAAACAAUGAGUCUUGUGAUGUCAAUGUAUCAUGUUUGAGUGGCUUUUACAUGUCGUGUGUGAUUGAAUAACAUGAUUUUUAUCUAGCUCACCCUUGCUUGUUUGUAUUGCUUGUGUAUGUUUCUUCUUGCGAUGAUCAUCCAUUUGGAUGAGAGCAGAUGGCGAUGAGGUUCCAUUGGAGACGACUUUGGAUGUUGAGGAUAAUGUUGCUGCCUAGUCUUUGGUGGUGUUAUUAGUUAUUCCUGAAAUUUGGGAUACCGUUUUUCCUUCCAGCUUAUAUUUAGAUCUCUUUGGAAUUUAAGUUUAAAUUCUGAAACUAUUUUGAGGA